UACGUAGGGUGCAAGCGUUGUCCGGAAUUAUUGGGCGUAAAGAGCUCGUAGGCGGUUUGUCGCGUCUGCUGUGAAAAUCCAGGGCUUAACCCUGGACCUGCAGUGGGUACGGGCAGACUGGAGUGCGGUAGGGGAGAUCGGAAUUCCUGGUGUAGCGGUGAAAUGCGCAGAUAUCAGGAGGAACACCGGUGGCGAAGGCGGAUCUCUGGGCCGUAACUGACGCUGAGGAGCGAAAGUGUGGGGAGCGAACAGG
rnacentral:rRNA from 1 species